rnacentral:rRNA from 1 species
UCCUACGGGAGGCAGCAGUGGGGAAUUUUGCGCAAUGGGCGAAAGCCUGACGCAGCAACGCCGCGUGGAGGAUGAAGGUUCUCUGAAUCGUAAACUCCUGUCGGCCGGGAAGAAUGAGCGGGACGCUAAUCAGUUCCGCUUUGACUGUACCGGCAAAGGAAGCCCCGGCUAACUCCGUGCCAGCAGCCGCGGUAAUACGGAGGGGGCAAGCGUUACUCGGAAUUAUUGGGCGUAAAGGGCGCGUAGGCGGUCGUGUGCGUCGGAGGUGAAAUCCCCGGGCUUAACCCGGGAGCUGCCUCCGAUACGGCAUGGCUUGAGUCCGGGAGAGGGGAGCAGAAUUCCCAGUGUAGCGGUGAAAUGCGUAGAUAUUGGGAGGAAUACCAGUGGCGAAGGCGGCUCCCUGGACCGGUACUGACGCUGAGGCGCGAAAGCGUGGGUAGCAAACAGGAUUAGAUACCCCGGUAGUCA